AGCUAAUCGUCUAGAGAUAAGCCCCAGAUACAAGCUGCACCAAUUAGAACUAUCCUGGGGGUUUUUGAAGGUAAUUGGUGUCCCUCUCUGGUGGCCACAGGGUAAGGAGAUGUCUGGAGUCGUCCACCACUGAUAGUGCUGGAGUCUGAUAGUUACCCGAGUGGUUGUAGAAGUCCCACUAGGGGAUCAUAGAUAGAGAGGGAAACCAGGGAACUUUGGGAGAUCACUGUAAGUUAAUGAUCACUAGGAAAGCCAUCAGAACGUCGUGGAACAAAGUAGGCUUUCUUAACUAUAAAACCAUAAGUGGAAGCAUGAGAUCUGCUGAAGGUCAUUAAGUGAAAGAUAAAUUGAGGCCUGCGUUCAAGUUCGGCAGGCCUGUGAUCUUUGGGACCAAGGACAGGAAUUUAAGGGUAAGGUGUCAUUUUGAGCGGGAGACCUUCAUUAUAAGGAAACUUGAGAUGAUGCAACAUAUUUUAGGAUCUGUUACCACCCUUCUGCUAAUUGGAUUAAGAGCCACGAUGAUCCUAGUUUGACCCCACAAGGUCAAAUAAAUACUCUCUUAACCGAUAUGAAAGAGGAACUAGUGAUAUAAGCCUGAUGUCUACUCCAAGAACUAAAAAGAAGGCGGUCUUCCCCCCUCCCACUUUAUUUGGAUUAUAAAAGUGUAGCCCACUUAAUCCUUGGGGCAGAGCCUCCUUGACUGCUGGCUUGUAUCCUUCACAAAAGUCCUAUCUUAAUAAAUCUUUUUUUUUUUUUUUCUUCCCUCUUUCUAGAGCCACACCUGUAGCACAUGGAAGUUCCCAGGCUAGGGAUUGAAUCAGAGCUGCAGCUGCCAGCCUAUGCCACAGCCGUAGCCACACUGGAUCUAAGCUGCAUCUGCAACCUACACCUCAACAUGCGACAACACCAGAUCCUUAAUCCACUGAGUGAGGCCAGGGAUGGAACCCUUAUCCUCAUGGAUACUAGAUGGGUUCCUUAACACUGGGAACUCCGGUAAAUCUAUGUCUUGCCUAUCACUUUGUCUCUUGCUGAAUUCCUUCUGUUCUGAGACUCAAUAAUAUGUCCAGACACCAGGUGAAUGAUUCUAAUUAAAAAAAAUGUAGGUUGAAGUACCAGUCUGGGUUUAGGUUGGGUUUGAGUCAGAGGUGUUGCACUUUCACUGCCAGGUCCUCUGCCACAUGGAUAGAGCCAGACUGUGGAAGAAAAAAAAAGAAAGAAAAAACUGACAAUCUGUAGAGAGAAGCACAGAUAAGAGAUGGAGGGCAAAGACCUGCCAGUUCUCCAGAUGUUCCUGAGGCCCAGUUAUACAUGUUCUCACCCAUCAUUUGAUUACGUGAAACAAAUACUGGAAACAUUCAAACCAGUGAGUCCUGUUGUUUAAAAUAGAACAUGCCUUGUUAUGGGUCGUCGUGAUGGAUGGGACGACGCAGAUGGGAAAGGACUGUGAGAAAUCGUAGGUAUACAAGAGCCUCACUAAUUUGCCUCCUUAGUAAACAACUUGAGCCUUGGCUUGACACCUUCUACUAAUCCAUGUUGAUUACAGGGAGUUCCUGUCAUGGCUCAGUGGUUAAUGAACCUCACUAGCAUCCAUGAGGACAUGGGUUCGAUCCCUGGCCCUGCUCAGCGGGUUAAGGAUCCGGCAUUGCUGUGAGCUAUGGUGUAGGUCAUAGAUGCGGCUUGGAUCUCAAGAUGCUGUGGCUCUGGUCUAGGCCAGCAGCUACAGCUCUGAUUUGACCCUUAGCCAGGGAACCUCCAUAUGCCAUGGGUGCAGCCCUAAAAGGUAACCCCCCCCAAAAAAAAAAACAACAACAAAAAAUACAAAUCUGAUCGUCUGCAAGCCAAAUGACUUGAUUUUUUUCAUAUUAGUGUCUCUGUUACUCUAGAGAGGCCAUGGAUUGGAUGGGGACAACUCUUUAAAAGUGUUGCCGAACACAAAUUCAUGUGCCCAAUACACAGUGAGGCCAGAAAAAACACUAACAUCAGAAUUUGGAGUUUAUUGCAAGGGCCAAGCAAGGAGAACAUGUGGCUUGUGCUCAAAAAGCCUGUUGGUGGUUUUCAGAGAGAUUUUUGUUUGUUUUGUUGUUUUUCUUUUUAGGGCCACACCGGUGACAUACAGAGUUUACCAGGCUGGGGGUCAAAUUGGAGCUACAGCUGCUGGCCUACAUCACAGCUUAUGGCAACACUGGAUCCGAACCCAGUGAGUGAGGCCAGGGAUCGAACCUGCCCCAGCACUCUUUGGCUAUGAGACGCUUAAGAGACCACAAUUAACAGGUGAGAUUCAGGUCACCAUUAAAAACAUAAUAAAAGGCUGAGUAGGAAUUCCUUUUGUGGCUCAGUGGUUAACGAGUCUGACUAGGAACCAUGAGGUUGCAGGUUUGAUCCCUGGCCUUGCUCAGUGGGUUAAGGAUCUGGCAUUGCCGUGAGCUGUGGUGUAGGUCACAGAUGCAGCUUGGAUCUGGUGUUGCUGUGGCUCUGGCAUAGGCCAUUGGCUACAGCUCCAAUUAGACCCCUAGCCUGGGAACCUCCAUAUGCCGCAGGAACGGCCCUAGAAAAGGCAAAAAGACAAAAAAAAAAAAAAAAAAAAAAAAAAAAG
rnacentral:lncRNA from 1 species